UAGCGGGGUAACCUGUCAUCUAGUAACGUUCCCAGAACGUUCAGAGACUGUCACGCUGUGGAGUUCUUUUAAGGUUUGGGGAACGUUAUUUGGUGGACGAUAUAUCAUCAUUAUCAUGAUUGGUCUGUGGCUACACAACCCCCUAUGCAGCAGAGUGUGAUGCACUGUACUGUGUGUUGUGACACAUUUCUCCCAUAACCAUCAUUAAUGUGGCACAUGAUUUGUGCCAUAGUAGGCCUGUUGGCUCAGACCAGUUGCCUUUAUGCAUCGAUGAAUUUUGGGCGCCCAACACCCUGUUGCUGGUUUGUGGUUUGCCCACUGUUGGUAAAUUCCUACCAAUUGUUGACUAGAGGUAAAUUAUAAGCUUGAGAGAAACGAUGUGAAAAAUGGAAUUGUGGAUGCACAGGGUGUGAAAUGGACUGUGGAUUUGAGAAAGAUGGAGGCCACAGCAUGUGAUUCAGGACUGGUGACGGCUCUGAAACGAUUGGAGAACCAUCCAGAGUACCGGAGGUGAAGAUGGGCUUUAAAAUGACAGUCAAAAAAACAGUGCUCAAGAUCGAGCGCAUUAAGAACAUGAAUGUUCUGCGGUUAUACAAGGGACAUAAAAAAGAGCUGGAAAACAGAAACGGUCUUAGUGUGGGAGCAGGAAAGAUAAUCCUUUAUCACGGCACAUCAGAGGCGUCUCAUCCAUUAUGAAGUCAAACUUUAACCGCAAUUUUGCUGAGCAAAAUGCCACUGUCUACGGUCAUGGGACAUACUUUGCUGUGAACGCCAGCUACUCUGCCAAUCCUACCUAUGCAGUUCCUGCAGCAGACGGGACUCAGCUCAUGUUUGUGGCUCGUGUGCUUGCGGGUCAUUGUACUCAGGGUCAGAUGAACAUGAAGAUGCCCCCAGUUCGCCAGCCUGGCAGACCACUGUUUUGACAGCGUGGUGAAUAAAACCCAGAAUCCCUCCAUGUUUGUGGUUUUUCACAACUGCCAGGCUUAUCCAGACUACCUCAUCACAUCCAAAUGAACUCCAACCAAAACCAACCUUGGUUUGUUCCCUAGCUGCAAAGUCAACCGGAUGAGCUCUGGAUGAUUUAUAAACCCUUACUAUUUAUGUAGUUGCUUUUACAUUUAAAUUUCAGUUAUAGAAGUGUUUCUCACCUGUUGGGU